GACUAACAUUCAUAGUUGAAAAAGCCAAACAAAUUCAUGAACAAGUUGAAUCACAACGGGAGAUGUUGGCAGAAAAUGGGGAGCAGGUGGAUGACAAUCAAUUAUACUAUGACGCGGUUGGUGGACACGACAAGAAAAGAAGAGUUUAUGGACUUGGUUCAUAUGGUUGUUCUGUUGUUCAUGGUCCAACUAAUGAUAACACUUCAGGCAAUAUGACACCAACAUCGCGACCACCCGACAAUGCUACUUCUACUUCUGCAAAUGUACAACAGGAAAUUCAGAGUUUGAAGGACACUAUUCUCCUUAUGCAACAACGACUUGAUGCUAUUGAUGGCGGGAGAGCGGGUACUUCAUCAUCACCUUCAUCUCAAAUCAAUUGAUUUUAAUGGUUGUUUGUUAAUUUUGUUUAGACUUGAAUUGACUAUUAUUAUGUAUUAAGUGUGGAUUGAUAAUGUAUUAUUAUGAUGUUUAGAGUUGAAUUGACGAUUAUAUUAUGUACGAAAUGUGGAUUAGUAAUGUAUUAUUAUUUGAACUUAA